rnacentral:rRNA from 1 species
AUUGAACGCUGGCGGUAUGCUUAACACAUGCAAGUCGAACGGCAACACAGUGUGUAGCAAUACACAUGGGUGGCGAGUGGCGGACGGGUGAGGAACACGUAGGAAUCUGCCCUAAAGAGGGGGACAACCCGAGGAAACUCGGGCUAAUACCGCAUAAUACUCUUCGGAGGAAAGGCUGGGGCAACCUGGCGCUUUAGGAGGAGCCUGCGUCCGAUUAGCUAGUUGGUAGGGAAAAGCCUACCAAGGCGACGACGGGUAGCUGGUCUGAGAGGAUGGCCAGCCACAUUGGGACUGAGAGACGGCCCAGACUCCUACGGGAGGCAGCAGUGGGGAAUCUUGCGCAAUGGCCGAAAGGCUGACGCAGCGACGCCGCGUGUGGGAGGACGCCUUU